rnacentral:rRNA from 1 species
GGCCUGGGGAGUNCGNUCGCAAGAUUAAACUCAAAGGAUUGACGGGGCCCNCACAACCGGUGGAUUAUGUGNAUUAAUUNGAUGCNACGCGAAAACCUUACNUGGCCUNGACAUGUACCGAAUUGAGCAGAGAUGUUCAAGUGCUCGAAAGAGAACGGUAACCACAGGUGCUGCAUGCCUGUCGUCAGCUCGUGUCGUGAGAUGUUGGGUUAAGUCCCGCAACGAGCGCAACCCUUGCCAUUAAUUGCCAUCAUUUAGUUGGGCACUUUAAUGGGACUGCCGGUGACAAACCGGAGGAAGGUGGGGAUGACGUCAAGUCCUCAUGGCCCUUAUGGCCAGGGCUUCACACGUAAUACAAUGGUCGGUACAGAGGGUUGCCAACCCGCGAGGGGGAGCCAAUCCCAGAAAGCCGAUCGUAGUCCGGAUUGUAGUCUGCAACUCGACUACAUGAAGUCGGAAUCGCUAGUAAUCGCGGAUCAGCAUGUCGCGGUGAAUACGUUCCCGGGCCUUGUACACACCGCCCGUCACACCAUGGGAGUGGGUUUUACCAGAAGUAGUUAGUCUAACCGCAAGGGAGACGAUUACCACGGUAGGAUUCAUGACUGGGGUGAAGUCGUAACAAGGUAACCGUA